AUGUGGGAUUCGAUUCCGGGUCUCCAGGAUCGCGCCCUGGGCCAAAGGCAGGCGCCAAACCGCUGCGCCACCCAGGGAUCCCCAGGCCCCUGUUUUCCUUCCCUGCCCCCCGCCUCGCCCUGCCCUGCGCCCCGCCGCCCUGCGCCCCAGCCCUCGGGCCCUCUGCACACCGCAGAAAGACGCCGCGGAGGGCGGAGGUCCGCUGCAAGGUGUCGUGUCGGCAGCCCGGGUAACAGCACCGCUAACAGGAACCCGCAACCUGCGCUUUCUUGUUUUCGUGCACGUGUCCAUCAAAAACGGUCGGCGGUUCAGAAGCUCUCUGCGGCCUUUCGGUUCGCGUUUGUCCCGCCGCGGCAGGCUUCGCUGAUGCUUGGAGGAGAGGAGCGGCAGGGCCUGCAGAGCCUGCAGAGCCCGCUCGCCCUGCCCCGCAGGAGAGCUGGGCCCGUCUCCCAACAGGAAGAGAUGGAAGCUGGUGCUUCAAGCCCUGAACUGAGGAUGGGCGCGCACAGGGACUCGGCCCGGCAGGGAGGAGCCCGCGGAGCCCUGCAAGCGGGGCCUGAGUGCGGGCGCUGGGCAGGGCGGUGUCCGCGCGGAGCUCGCUCAGGGCCACGCCGCCCCCGCAGCCCCCUGGCCUUGCCUCGGGGAGGGGCCUUGGGGAAGGCUCCACGACCCCCAACCCUGGAGCCCCCCAGUCUUGCCUCGGGGAGGGGCCUUGGGGAAGGCUCCGCGACCCCCAACCCUGGAGCCCCCCAGUCUUGCCUCGGGGAGGGGCCUUGGGGAAGGCUCCACGACCCCCACCCCUGGAGCCCCACAGUCUUGCCUCGGGAAGGGGACUUGGGGAAGUCUCGACGUCUCGACGACCCCCACCCCUGGAGCUCCCCAGUCUUGCCUCGGGAAGGGGCUUUGGGGAAGUCUCGACGACCCCCACCCCUGGAGCCCCACAGUCUUGCCUCGGGAAGGGAAGGGGGAAGGCUUGACACCCGGCGCCCCGCCCAGGCUAUCUCAGCAAAUUAUGCUUUACGUUGA
rnacentral:lncRNA from 1 species